AUUGAACGCUGGCGGCAUGCUUAACGCAUGCAAGUCGAACGGUAACAGACCUAGCUUGCUAGGUGCUGACGAGUGGCGGACGGGUGAGUAACGCGUAGGAAUCUACCUUAUAGUGGGGGAUAACCUGGGGAAACUCAGGCUAAUACCGCAUGUUUCUCAAGAGAUAAAGCAGGGGACCUUCGGGCCUUGCGCUAUAAGAUGAGCCUGCGUCGGAUUAGCUAGUUGGUGGGGUAAAGGCCUACCAAGGCAAUGAUCCGUAGCUGGUCUGAGAGGACGACCAGCCACACUGGGACUGAGACACGGGCCAGACUCCUACGGGAGGCAGCAGUGGGGAAUAUUGGACAAUGGCCGCAAGCCUGAUCCAGCAAUGCCGCGUGUGUGAAGAAGGCCUUCGGGUUGUAAAGCACUUUCAGUAGGGAGGAAGGACUUAAUUCUAAUACAAUUAAGUAUUGACGUUACCUACAGAAGAAGCACCGGCUAACUCUGUGCCAGCCGCCGCCGUAA
rnacentral:rRNA from 1 species